ACCGAGCCACGACAUGCAAUGAGCACCGAAAUGGUAAGUUAAUCGUGAUAUUUUACUGUAGUUGCGAUCGUGGAAUGAAAGAGACAAGAAUUUACACAAACAAAAUGCAUUUGUUUUCCUCGUUUGCUUUAUGCGUUGAUUUUGUUCACUUCUGUACAAGAUCUAAUCGCUGGAAGAGUCUUUUGUGUGAACAUUUAUUAAAAAAGUGGAAAAGAUUUAAUAAAUAAAUCAAAUUAAUAUAAACAGGUACGUGCAAAUACUUUUAGAAACUCUAAAACAGGAGAAUGCAGUUAUUCGUGGUAAGACUAAUAAAGAUUAACAGAAAAAUAUUUGUAUAAUCAAAUUAAUUAACAACAUUGUUUUUAGAUCAAUUGAAUGCAGUGGUCCAAAUUUUAGCGGAUCAAACUGUUUUAAUAAAGCAGCUGGUAAAGGAGAAGGGGGAAUUGAAUCCCAUUCGGGGACAGUUCCCUAUAAAACGUGAGGAAGAACUUAUAGAACUGGAAGAAAAAAUAAAAUUAAAUAGAGACAUUUAUAUAACAGCAAUGAAAUCAAUUCUCCAGUGCCAAAAACCAGGAGUAGGCUAAGCAUCAUAUAAUUAAAAAUUAUUCGUUAUAAUGAAAGACAUUGUGUUGUUAUUUUUUUAUUAUUCCAGACUGCCAGAUUGACUACUACCAGUAGUCAGUUCGGAACUAGUUACUGGUAACUAGGUCAGAGCUAGCUACAGGUAAUCGAAGGGUAGUCGAGUGGGGAACUAGUUGCUGGCUUUCUACUGGUAACUAGUUCGGAACUACCUCCUGAGCAACUAGCUACGGGUAAUCGAAGGGUAAUCGAGCGGGAACCAGGGGUGGUUCCGCCCUAGGACAUGCAUGUGUUAAAUUCUCCGCUGAAAUACAUUGCGGGUAAUCGAUCUGGAACCAGGGAGGUGAGAAUGGUAGCUAGUGCGGCACCAGUGCGGAACUAGUUGCCUGGUACUAGA